rnacentral:rRNA from 1 species
CCUACGGGCGACAGCAGUGAGGAAUAUUGGUCAAUGGGCGCUAGCCUGAACCAGCCAAGUCGCGUGAAGGAUGACUGCCCUCUGGGUUGUAAACUUCUUUUAUAUGGGAAUAAAGUGCAGUAUGUAUACUGCUUUGCAUGUACCUUAUGUAUAAGGAUCGGCUAACUCCGUGCCAGCAGCCGCGGUAAUACGGAGGAUCCGAGCGUUAUCCGGAUUUAUUGGGUUUAAAGGGAGCGUAGGCGGGUUGUUAAGUCAGUUGUGAAAGUUUGCGGCUCAACCGUAAAAUUGCAGUUGAUACUGGCAGCCUUGAGUACAGGAGAGGUAGGCGGAAUUCGGGGUGUAGCGGUGAAAUGCUUAGAUAUCACGAAGAACUCCGAUUGCGAAGGCAGCCUGCUGGACUGUAACUGACGCUGAUGCUCGAAAGUGUGGGUAUCAAACAGGAUUAGAUACCCGAGUAGUC